GUGAAUUCCCUCGGUAUGAUAAUUUGUUCAUCAGUUUGUUCCCCGUUUCUUCUCUAGCCUGAGCCUGACACACUAUUCUAGCUAGACAUGGGUGUGGCUCGUAACACCUGAUGACCAAACGGAUCUACGACACCAUCGAAUCUCAAACUUUAACUACCAAAACUAUUGUUUUUCAUCCUCUAGUCCCUUUUAGAAUUACUAAACGUCCUUUUUUGGGCCGAGAUUUCCAGGAACGCUUUCUCGGGGUUUGUGUGCAUGUAUUUCAAACCAUACAGACCUAAAAAUUAGAAGUCAUUCCAUCUUUAUUCCCGUAGAGCCUUCCAGCAGUUCCUAAACCGCUCCAGUCGGAGCAUGUUAUCAUUCUUGUUUGUUCUGAGUGAAUUCCCUCGGUAUGAUAAUUCUAUCAUCAGUUUGUUCCCCGUUUCUUCUCUAGCCUGAGCCUGGCAAACUAUUCUAGCUAGACAUGGGUGUGGCUCGUAACACCUGAUGACCAAACGGAUCUACGACACCAUCGAAUCUCAAACUUUAACUACCAAAACUAUUGUUUUUCAUUCUAUAGUCCCUUCUAGAAUUUCUAAACGUCCUUUUUUGGGCCGAGAUUUCCAGGAAUGCUUUCUCGGGGUUUGUGUGCAAGUAUUUCAAAUCAUACGGACCUAAAAAUUAGAAGUCAUUCCAUCUUUAUUCCCCUAGAGCCUUCCAGUAGUUCCUAAACCGCUCCAGUCGGAGCACGUUAUCAUUCUUGUUAGUUCAUAGUGAAUUCCCUCGGUAUGAUAAUUCUUUCAUCAGUUUGUUCCCCGUUUCUUCUCUAGCCUGAGCCUGGCACAGUAUUCUAGCUAGACAUGGGUGUGGUCGUAACACCUGAUGACUAAAUGGAUCGACGGCACCAUCGAAUCUCAAACUUUAACUGCCAAAACUAUUGUUUUUCAUCCUGUAAUCCCAUUUAGAAUUACUAAACGUCCUUUUUUGGGCCGAGAUUUAGAGGAACGCUUUGUUGGGGUUUGUGUGCAAGUAUUUCAAACCAUACGGACCUAAAAAUUAGAACUCAUUCCAUAUUUAUUCCCCUUGAGCCUUCCAGCAGUUCCUAAACCGCUCUAGUCGGAGCACGUUAUCAUUCUUGUUAGUUCUAAGAGAAUUCCCUCGGUAUGAUAAUUCUUUUAUCAGUUUGUUCCCCGUUUCUUCUCUAGACUGGGCCCGACACACUAUUCUAGCUAGACAUGGGUGUGGCUCGUAACACCUGAUGACCAAACGGAUCUACGGCACCAUCGAAUCUCAAACUUCAACUGCCAAAACUAUUGUUUUUCAUCCUGUAGUCCCUUUUAGAAUUACUAAACGUCCUUUUUUGGGCCGAGAUUUCCAGGAACGCUUUCUCGGGGUUUGUGUGCAAGUAUUUCAAACCAUACGGACCUAAAAAUUAGAAGUCAUUCCAUCUUUAUUCCCGUAGAGCCAUCCAGCAGUUCCUAAACCGCUCCAGUCGGAGCACGUUAUCAUUCUUGUUAGUUCUGAGUGAAUUCCCUCGGUAUGAUAAUUCUUUCAUCAGUUUGUUCCCCGUUUCUUCUCUAGCCUGAGCCUGACAAACUAUUAUAGCUAGACAUGGGUGUGGCUCGUAACACCUGAUGACCAAACGGAUCUAUGGCACCAUCGAAUCUCAAACUUUAACUGCCAAAACUAUUGUUUUUCAUCCUGUAGUCCCUUUUAGAAUUACUAAACGCCCUUCUUUGGGACGAGAUUUCCAGGAACGCUUUCUCGGGGUUUGUGUGAAAGUAAUUCAAACCAUACGGACCUAAAAAUUAGAAGUCAUUCCAUCUUUAUUCCCGUGGAGCCUUCCAGUAGUUCCUAAACCGCUCCAGUCGGAGCACGUUAUCAUUCUUGUUAGUUCUGAGUGAAUUCCCUCGGUAUGAUAAUUCUUUCAUCAGUUUGUUCCCUGUUUCUUCUCUAGCCUGAGCCUGGCACACUAUUCUAGCUAGACAUGGGUGUGGCUCGUAACACCUGAUGACUAAACUGAUCAAUGACACCAUCGAAUCUCAAACUUUAACUGCCAAAACUAUUGUUUUUCAUCCUGUAGUCCCAUUUAGAAUUACUAAACGUCCUUUUUUGGGCCGAGAUUUCCAGGAACGCUUACUCGGGGUUUGUGUGCAAGUAUUUCAAACCAUACUGACCUAAAAAUUAGAAGUCAAUCCAUCUUUAUUCCCCUAGAGCCUUCCAGCAGUUCCUAAACCGCUCCAGUCGGAGCACGUUAUCAUUCUUGUUAGUUCUGAGUGAAUUCCCUCGGUAUGAUAAUUCUUUCAUCAGUUUGUUCCUUGUUUCUUCUCUAGCCUGAACCUGACACACUAUUCUAGCUAGACAUGGGUGUGGCUCGUAACACCUGAUGACCAAACGGAUCUACGGCACCAUCGAAUCUCAAACUUUAACUGCCAAAACUAUUAUUUUUAAUCCUCUAGUCCCAUUUAGAAUUACUAAACGUCCUUUUUUGGGCCGAGAUUUAGAGGAACGCUUUCAUGCGGUUUGUGUGCAAGUAUUUCAAACCAUACGGACCUAAAAAUUAGAAGUCAUUCCAUCUUUAUUCCCCUAGAGCCUUCCAGCAGUUCCUAAACCGCUCCAGUCGGAGCAUGUUAUCAUUCUUGUUAGUUCUGAGUGAAUUCCCUCGGUAUGAUAAUUCUUUCAUCAGUUUGUGGCCCGUUUCUUCUCUAGCCUGAGCCUGACACACUAUUCUAGCUAGACGUGGGUGUGGCUCGUAACACCUGAUGACCAAACGGAUCUACGGCACCAUCGAAUCUCAAACUUUAAGUGCCAAAACUAUUAUUUUUAAUCCUGUAGUCCCAUUUAGAAUUAC
rnacentral:lncRNA from 1 species